rnacentral:rRNA from 1 species
UACGAAGGUCCCGAGCGUUAUUCGGAAUCACUGGGCGUAAAGGGAGCGUAGGCUGCGUGGUAAGUCAGAUGUGAAAUCUCAGGGCUCAACCCUGAAACUGCAUCGAUACUGCCACGCUAGAGUAAUGGAGGGGUAACUGGAAUUCUCAGUGUAGCAGUGAAAUGCGUAGAUAUUGAGAGGAAGACCAACGGCGAAGGCAGGUUACUGGACAUUUACUGACGCUGGAGGCUACGAAGGCUAGGGUAGCGAAAGGGAUUACGAUACCCCGUAGUCC